rnacentral:lncRNA from 1 species
AUCAACUCCCACAAGUUGAAAUAAAAAAUUACUCUCUCUUCCAAAUUUCUCUUCCUCUAAAACUCCAUUGAAGACCAAAUAGAUCCAAAAAGAAGAUCAAGCUUCAUGUUUUCCAACUCAAUUUCAUGGUUUUAUCAUCCAUAAGGUAUGGUUUCUUUCACUAUUGGGAAUCUUUUCACCAAGAGGUCCUUAAAAAAUGAUUUCUAAACCCUCAAAACAAGGGUUUUUAUCUUCACAUUGGUCUUCUUUAUUUAUACAAAAUUUUGAGUUGAUUGUGAUGAAUUAUGAUGAAUUAAUUAUGUUUAAGCAUGAAUUAAUGACUAUUAAUGAAUUUCUAUGAGUUUUCCCUUGACCCAUGUCUUUCCCCUAAAUUCAUAGUUUCUUGGAUUGAUUACGAAGAAUUGUUGAGGGUGAUGAACAUGUCACUUGUUACAUUGAUUUUAGAUACGUUAAUACUUCAUGAAUUUCCCUGUUUCAAAUGUUGUUUGUGAGUUAUUGGGUAUUAAAAUAUGAUGUCCCAUGAAGGUCAAUGAGGUAUGAUCUUGAUUCUCCUUUGAUCUCAAUUAUGCAAGGUCAAAUAUACUCUGUGAUAAUGAUACUUUAUAAAAGAUGUUUACCUAAUGUUCUAAAAGAGACUAAUGUGAACAUGUACGAUGUUAUAUGAUGAUUACUAAAGGAAAUAAUUGUUUAUUACCAAAUAGGCAUGUUAAUAAUAUUGAGGUCCCAGAUGGGUUUCUUCACGACCCGUAGUGUGGAUUCCAAAGGUAUGUGUUGUCUCAUAAGAUGGAAACCUUCACGAUUAGUUGUCGAGCUUUUUAGAAACAAUCUCCUUUACCCUUAACUAUGUUGGCACAGAGGACUCCAUCUUACUGGAUCAACCUAGAAUAACUAUGUACGAAUGGUUGCACCUUAGGAAAGGGUUAACCCUCUCUUUUCAGUGUGGGGUAGAACACCAGAUUCCAUGUAGCUCACGUGGUCUCAUGUCAGUCAUGGUACUUAUUUCCCUAACAUAAAGGUAUGAACAAGUUAUGUAUGUGAACUUUUAUUAGGGUUGUCUUAAAAGUUACUAAAUAGUGUGAGGGAGGGUAUGGAACUUGCGUUACACAUUGCACAUGUGGGAUCCUAUAGUAUGGUUCUAGUACUGUCCUAUUAUAAUUUUGAUUAUGGUUAUGAUUAUGUUUAUAAGCUAUUGCUAAAAUUGAUAUUUGAAGUAUGUUAUGUAAAAUAAUAUGCUGUAAGUAUGAAAUUGAUUGCUUAAUGUGAUACUUAGCUUUGAAUAGGGUUAUGUUGCUUUAUUCAUGGAAUUGCACAAGUGUUGCUUGAUUUAUUUAUAUGCUGAAAUUAUUAUGAUGUUCCCUAUAUGUGUAUAUUGAAUUGUUGGUCAUUAUUCAUUGUUUUGACUAAAUUGUGCCUUCUCUCAUGCAUUAACGAUUUUUAUGCAUAGGGACCAUACUUAGUACCUAUUGUUUGUACUAACCCAUACUUCUUUCCUUUUCCAAAACAUUGUAGGUUAAGGCCGUUGAAAUAUCAUUGAGGCUAAAGUGAAAUGGCUUGGACUAGACUCUCCAUGUUUUGGCAUGCCCUCUAGUUCGAGGAUGAUACCGCACACACUCUAUCUUAGUAGUACUUGUAUUGUUUAGUAGACAUUCAUUUCUUUCCUUUUGUUGAAAAUAUUAAUGUAAGCCCUAUGUGGCAAUUAUGGAUUCAUAUAAGGGCUUUUCCUAAAUUUUUUGACUUUGUUUAGUGAGUGAUAUAAGACAAAGUAUUAGACUAAAUUCCUAUGUGUUCUUAUGAUCUAUUGCGAGAAGCCUAUGUACGCUUUUGAUGUAGAGGUCUAUGUAAACCUCCAUUCUAUAUAAGAAGAAGUUUUAAUUUUUCUGCUAUUUUGACGUAUGAAUUGCUAUGACGAAUGCUAAGCGGCUUGUCUUUUUCCUCUUUGAGGAAAAUGAUGGCAGUAACUCCUAGGGGGUACUUUGGGUUAUAAUGAACUUUGUAUCAAUGCAUGCGGUGAAAUCUUUUUAGGAUUGUUGUAUCAUUAAACAACGUCUAUGUAGG